UACUUAUCCAGAGAGGUGGAGGGAACGGCCCUAUGAAACCUCAGCAACCCCUAUGUAAAUGCAUAGGAAGGUGCUAAUUCCGCAGAGAACACGUUGUGUUUUUUGGAAGAUGAGAG
rfam:Bacillus anthracis str. 'Ames Ancestor', complete genome.